ACUACGGGAGGCAGCAGUGGGGAAUAUUGGGCAAUGGGCGCAAGCCUGACCCAGCAACGCCGCGUGAAGGAAGCAGGCUUUCGGGUUGUAAACUUCUUUUGACAGGGAAGAGCCGAAGACGGUACCUGUCGAAUAAGCCACGGCUAACUACGUUCCAGCAGCCGCGGUAAUACGUAGGUGGCAAGCGUUGUCCGGAUUUACUGGGUGUAAAGGGAGUGUAGCCGGGCUGACAAGUCAGAUGGGAAAUCCGGGGUCUCAACCCCCGAACUGCAUUUGAAACUGUUGGUCUUGAGUAUCGGAGAGGCAGGCGGAAGUCCUAGUGUAGCGGUGAAAUGCGUAGAUAUUAGGAGGAACACCAGUGGCGAAGGCGGCCUGCUGGACGACAACUGACGGUGAGGCGCGAAAGCGUGGGAGCAAACAGGAUUAGAUACCCGAGUAGUC
rnacentral:rRNA from 1 species